AGUGAAUAGAUACCCGGGUAGUCCACGCCGUAAACGAUGGAUACUAGCUGUCGGGGGUAUCGACCCCCUCGGUAGCGAAAGCUAAACGCGUUAAAGUAUCCCGCCUGUGGAGUACGGUCGCAAGACUAAAACAUAAAGGAAUUGACGGGGAUCAGCACAAGCGGUGGAUCGUGUUCUUUAAUUCGAUGAUAAACGAAGAACCUUACCAGGGCUUGACAUCCAGGGAAGCACUACGAAAGUAGAGUGUGCCUUUUGGAACCCUGUGACAGGUGUUGCAUGGCCGCCGUCAGCUCGUGUCGUGAGAUGUUUGGUUAAGUCCAUCAACGAGCGCAACCCUUGUGAAUAGUUGUAUUUUUCUAUUCAGACUGCUCUAGUAAUAGGGAGGAAGGAGGGGAUGAUGUCAGGUCAGUAUUACCCUUACGUCCUGGGCUAGAAGCACGAUACAAUGGCAAGUACAAUGCGCAGCGAAGCAGUGAUGUGGAGCAAAUCGCACCAAAGCUUGUCCCAGUUCGGAUAAGAGGCUGAAACUCGCCUC
rnacentral:rRNA from 1 species